rnacentral:rRNA from 1 species
AGAGUUUGAUCCUGGCUCAGAUUGAACGCUGGCGGCAUGCUUUACACAUGCAAGUCGGACGGCAGCACAGAGAAGCUUGCUUCUUGGGUGGCGAGUGGCGAACGGGUGAGUAAUAUAUCGGAACGUACCGAGUAAUGGGGGAUAACUAAUCGAAAGAUUAGCUAAUACCGCAUAUUCUCUGAGGAGGAAAGCAGGGGACCUUCGGGCCUUGCGUUAUUCGAGCGGCCGAUAUCUGAUUAGCUAGUUGGUGGGGUAAAGGCCUACCAAGGCGACGAUCAGUAGCGGGUCUGAGAGGAUGAUCCGCCACACUGGGACUGAGACACGGCCCAGACUCCUACGGGAGGCAGCAGUGGGGAAUUUUGGACAAUGGGCGCAAGCCUGAUCCAGCCAUGCCGCGUGUCUGAAGAAGGCCUUCGGGUUGUAAAGGACUUUUGUCAGGGAAGAAAAGGCUGUUGCUAAUAUCGACAGCUGAUGACGGUACCUGAAGAAUAAGCACCGGCUAACUACGUGCCAGCAGCCGCGGUAAUACGUAGGGUGCGAGCGUUAAUCGGAAUUACUGGGCGUAAAGCGAGCGCAGACGGUUACUUAAGCAGGAUGUGAAAUCCCCGGGCUCAACCUGGGAACUGCGUUCUGAACUGGGUGACUAGAGUGUGUCAGAGGGAGGUAGAAUUCCACGUGUAGCGGUGAAAUGCGUAGAGAUGUGGAGGAAUACCGAUGGCGAAGGCAGCCUCCUGGGAUAACACUGACGUUCAUGCUCGAAAGCGUGGGUAGCAAACAGGAUUAGAUACCCUGGUAGUCCACGCCCUAAACGAUGUCGAUUAGCUG